UGGAGCUUGCUCCCUGAUGUUACGGCGGACGGGUGAGUACACGUGGGUACCUGCCUGUAAGACUGGGAUAACUCCGGGAAACCGGGGCUAAUACCGGAUGCUUGUUUGAACCGCAUGGUUCAGACAUAAAAGGUGGCUUCGGCUACCACUUACAGAUGGACCCGCGGCGCAUUAGCUAGUUGGUGAGGUAACGGCUCACCAAGGCAACGAUGCGUAGCCGACCUGAGAGGGUGAUCGGCCACACUGGGACUGAGACACGGCCCAGACUCCUACGGGAGGCAGCAGUAGGGAAUCUUCCGCAAUGGACGAAAGUCUGACGGAGCAACGCCGCGUGAGUGAUGAAGGUUUUCGGAUCGUAAAGCUCUGUUGUUAGGGAAGAACAAGUGCCGUUCAAAUAGGGCGGCACCUUGACGGUACCUAACCAGAAAGCCACGGCUAACUACGUGCCAGCAGCCGCGGUAAUACGUAGGUGGCAAGCGUUGUCCAGAUUUUUGGGGCGAAAAGAA
rnacentral:rRNA from 1 species